CAGUCGCCACGGUAAUACGGAGGGUGCAAGCGUUAAUCGGAAUUACUGGGCGUAAAGCGCACGCAGGCGGUCUGACAAGUCAGAUGUGAAAUCCCCGGGCUUAACCUGGGAACUGCAUUUGAAACUGUCAGGCUGGAGUCUUGUAGAGGGGGGUGGAAUUCCAGGUGUAGCGGUGAAAUGCGUAGAGAUCUGGAGGAAUACCGGUGGCGAAGGCGGCCCCCUGGACAAAGACUGACGCUCAGGUGCGAAAGCGUGGGGAGCAAACAGGAUUAGAUACCCGGGUAGUCCCUGUCUCUUAUAC
rnacentral:rRNA from 1 species